CCCACUCCAGCUGAACAAUCAAUGAACUAUCCUAAGUCCCACUCUAGCUGAACAAUAUAAUGAACUAUCCUAAGUCCCACUCCAGCUGAACAAUACAAUAAACUAUCCUGAGUCCCACUCCAGCUGAACAUUACAAUGAACAAUCCUGAGUCCAACUCCAGCUGAACAAUACAAUGAACUAUCCUGAGUCCAACUCCAGCUGAACAAUACAAUGAACUAUCCUAAGUCCAACUCCAGCUGAACAAUGCAAUGAACUAUCUUGAGUCCCACUCCAGCUGAGCAACACAAUGAACUAUCCUGAGACCAACUCCAGCUGAACAACACAAUGAACUAUCUUGAGUCCCACUCCAGCUGAGCAACACAAUGAACUAUCCUGAGACCAACUCCAGCUGAGCAACACAAUGAACUAUCUUGAGUCCCACUCCAGCUGAACAACACAAUGAACUAUUUUAAGUCCCACUCCAGCUGAACAACACAAUGAACUAUUUUAAGUCCCACUCCAGCUGAACAAUACAAUGAACUAUCCUGAGUCCCACUCCAGCUGAACAAUACAAUGAACUAUCCUGAGUCCAACUCCAGCUGAACAAUACAAUGAACUAUCCUGAGUCCAACUCCAGCUGAACAAUACAAUGAACUAUCCUAAGUCCCACUCCAGCUGAACAAUACAAUGAACUAUCCUAAGUCCCACUCUAGCUGAACAAUACAAUGAGCUAUCCUGAGUCCCACUCCAGCUGAACAAUACAAUGAACUAUCCUAAGUCCCACUCCAGCUGAACAAUACAAUGAACUAUCCUGAGUCCCACUCCAGCUGAACAAUACAAUGAACUAUCCUAAGUCCCACUCUAGCUGAACAAUACAAUGAACUAUCCUGAGUCCAACUCCAGCUGAACAAUGCAAUGAACUAUCCUGAGUCCCACUCCAGCUGAACAAUACAAUGAACUAUCCUAAGUCCCACUCCAGCUGAACAAUACAACGAACUAUCCUGAGUCCCACUCCAGCUGAACAAUACAAUGAACUAUCCUAAGUCCCACUCCAGCUGAACAAUACAAUGAACUAUCCUAAGUCCCACUCCAGCUGAACAAUACAAUGAACUAUCCUAAGUCCCACUCCAGCUGAACAAUACAAUGAACUAUCCUAAGUCCCACUCCAGCUGAACAAUACAAUGAACUAUCCUGAGUCCCUCUCCAGCUGAACAAUACAAUGAACUAUCCUAAGUCCCACUUCAGCUGAACAAUACAAUGAACUAUCCUAAGUCCCACUCCAGCUGAACAAUACAAUGAACUAUCAUAAGUCCCACUCCAGCUGAACAAUACAAUGAACUAUCCUAAGUCCCACUCCAGCUGAACAAUACAAUGAACUAUCAUAAGUCCCACUCUAGCUGAGCUUUACUAUGUUGAAUAUAUUUUAUAUUAUGCUUUUAAGAGUUAUGAUAGCAGUCUUUAUAUUAACAAACUAGGUAAAGGUUCAAACAUAAAAACUGUAAAAUGUUAAUAAUAUUUAAUUAAUUUAUUUAAAAAAUAAUUGAAAAUGAGGAAAAAAUAUGAACAUGAUUUUUAAUAAAAAUAAAAAAUGCCCUGUACUGUCUUGGUGAUUUCUUCUCUUUUUUGUCAGUCAUUAAAACAGUUUUAGAUAAUAUGUAGCUGCUGCAGGAAGCUCAUUGUUUACAUUAUGCCAAGUGACGACGUAGCUAUUGCAAUACGUUUGUUGUUCCUGUACUUACAAUUUCUAACGCGGAUGCUUCUGGAGGGUUGUUGGUCAUACUGUUGUACUGAGUCACUAGGCUCGUGCAGCUGGUCUAGCAAGACACUAGGUUGGUGCUGCAAGACACUAGGCUGGUGCAGCAAGACACUAGGUUGGUGCAGCAAGACACUAGGUUGGUGCAGCAAGACACUAGGUUGGUGCAGCAAGACACUAGGUUGGUGCUGCAAGACACUAGGCUGGUGCAGCAAGACACUAGGCUGGUGCAGCAAGACACUAGGCUGGUGCAGCAAGACACUGGGUUGGUGCAGCAAGACACCAGGCUGGUGCAGCAAGACACUGGGUUGGUGCAGCAAGACAUAGGCUGGUGCAGCAAGACACUAGGUUGGUGCAGCAAGACAUGGGUUGGUGCUGCAAGACACUGGGCUGGUGUAGCAAGACACUAGGUUGGUGCAGCAAGACAUAGGCUGGUGCAGCAAGACACUAGGUUGGUGCAGCAAGACAUAGGUUGGUGCCUCAAAGACACUGGGCUGGUGUAGCAAGACACUAGGUUGGUGCAACAAGACACUAGGCUGGUGCAGCAACACUCUGGGUUGGUGCAGCAAGACAUAGGCUGGUGCAGCAACACACUGGGCUGGUGUAGCAAGACACUAGGCUGGUGCAGCAAGGCACUAGGCUGGUGCAGCAAGGCAAUAGGCUGGUGUAGCUAGACCCUAGUCUGGUGCAGCAAGACACUAGGCUGGUGUAUCAAGACACUAGGUUGGUGCAGCAAGAUACAAGGCUGGUGCAGCAAGACACUAAGCUGGUGCAGCAAGACCCUAGGCUGGUGCAGCAAGGCACUAGGCUGGUGCAGCAAGGCACUGGGCUGGUGCAGGAAGUCACUGGGCUGGUGCAGCAAGGCACUAGGCUGGUGCAGCAAGGCACAAGGCUGGUGCAGCAAGGCACUAGGCUGGUGCAGCAAGGCACAAGGCUGGUGCAGCAAGGCACUAGGUUGGUGCAGCAAGGCACAAGGCUGGUGCAGCAAGGCACUAGGCUGGUGCAGCAAGCUCUUUGCUCCUCAAGUGUUUAUAUUAUGUUGUUUUAACUCACAGUAUUAUCAGUUUUUUUCUGUAAUGUUUUUGCAGUUCUAGUAAAUGCCUGUUCUUUUAGAUUUUAAUGAACAAUUCAUAUAAAAAAUAAUAAAGAUUUGGCAAAUAUAUGAUGACAACAA